rnacentral:rRNA from 1 species
AUACUGUGAGCUCGAUGAGUAGGGCGGGACACGUGGUAUCCUGUCUGAAUAUGGGGGGACCAUCCUCCAAGGCUAAAUACUCCUGACUGACCGAUAGUGAACCAGUACCGUGAGGGAAAGGCGAAAAGAACCCCGGCGAGGGGAGUGAAAAAGAACCUGAAACCGUGUACGUACAAGCAGUGGGAGCCUCUUUUAUGGGGUGACUGCGUACCUUUUGUAUAAUGGGUCAGCGACUUAUAUUCUGUAGCAAGGUUAACCGAAUAGGGGAGCCGAAGGGAAACCGAGUCUUAACUGGGCGUUAAGUUGCAGGGUAUAGACCCGAAACCCGGUGAUCUAGCCAUGGGCAGGUUGAAGGUUGGGUAACACUAACUGGAGGACCGAACCGACUAAUGUUGAAAAAUUAGCGGAUGACUUGUGGCUGGGGGUGAAAGGCCAAUCAAACCGGGAGAUAGCUGGUUCUCCCCGAAAGCUAUUUAGGUAGCGCCUCGUGAAUUCAUCUCCGGGGGUAGAGCACUGUUUCGGCAAGGGGGUCAUCCCGACUUACCAACCCGAUGCAAACUGCGAAUACCGGAGAAUGUUAUCACGGGAGACACACGGCGGGUGCUAACGUCCGUCGUGAAGAGGGAAACAACCCAGACCGCCAGCUAAGGUCCCAAAGUCAUGGUUAAGUGGGAAACGAUGUGGGAAGGCCCAGACAGCCAGGAUGUUGGCUUAGAAGCAGCCAUCAUUUAAAGAAAGCGUAAUAGCUCACUGGUCGAGUCGGCCUGCGCGGAAGAUGUAACGGGGCUAAACCAUGCACCGAAGCUGCGGCAGCGAC